rnacentral:lncRNA from 1 species
ACAUAAAAAAUAGUCAAAUAAAAAAUUCAGAAAAUUGCUCCUCAAUUAACAAGAUCCAAGCAUUAGAGGAACACGAAUCAUUGCCACAAAAUCAAUUAGAAUGGCCCUCCUCACAUCAUCCUUGGAACUCGACAAUGGAGAGAAAUCGUAGAACGAAUAAAAAAAACAAAAUAUAGAUUGCGACAACCUGUUAAUCCAAUCUUCAACCAAACGAAACCCUAAAGGCAUGGAAGAUAUGAGAUGACAGCGACGGUGCAGAUCUGAAUUGGAGUGGAAGUCAGGCGGAUGUGUAAUGGAGGAGGGGCGGCGGCAGUGCAGUUAUG